CGAGGGGAAAAAGAGCAGCGAGGGAAGCAGAGGUUCCAGGGGUGACGGUAUUUCUCCUCUCAACCGGCCGCGUUGCCUUCACAGCAGGCUGCCUGCUUGCGGGCUGCAGCAGGGAUGCACUCGACAGACUAAAACUGCAAAACCUCCUGACUUCAGUGGAAGAUCAGUCCGCUCCCCCGGGAGGUGAGAAAGCCAAGUUAGGAAGCUCACAGGUACUGUCAGAGUGGUGUCUGUUUUGCACGUGUUUUCCUUGGGUCGUGUUUUCGGCAUGGCUGCAUCCAAAGUGAGGGUUUUCACAGCUAUGAAGAAAAACAACAGAGAUGCCUUUAAUUACUUCUGCCUCGCUUUUAUUACGACCCAGUUGAAGAGUGACACCAGCUGCUAUUUUCACGAGGUUCUCAGGGCAUUAUUUUAAACGCCGGCAAUUCUGUGAGAUCUCAAACUGUUGCUUCUUAAGGGACAAAAAUCAAUGCAAUUCCACCAGCUUGUGCCAACAUAACUGGCCCUUGGGUACAGAGGGAUCUGACAGCAUCAUGAUUUCUUGGAAAUGGUAGGGAAAACCAGAACAAAGAAAACGUGGGACCCUGGACUCAGUUUCCAUGUGUACACAGUUUCACUCUUGGUGCUUUAGUCACCGUCUUCCGGCCUUUCCUCUGACAUUUGUCUCUGCUCCCGCUUACCAUGUUUGGUUUUGUCCUCGAUAUCUCUCCAGAUGCUGCGCUGCUCGGCUUUGUUUCUCACAAUGCAACUCCAUACCUAAUGUUUUCUUCUCUUUUCCUGUCUGGAAUGGAUGUUUUGUUCCACCACUUUCAGGUGGAGCUUUAACACAGCCUCUAAAGCGAAUGACCAAACCUUGUUGUUUUGUUUUCUGUGGGUUUUUUGUUUGUUUAAAGGAAGUGCUUAGAGCUGGCAGGAGGUGCCAGGCCGCUGCUUUCCCACAGAGCAAGUCGAGCACAAACUGUAAGCCCACUGCUUUGGUGCCACUGUGAUCCAGCAUGGGAGAGGGAAGCUCCCCUGCCCCUCUCCUCCUGCCCACUGCCAGGUGAAGCACAACCUGUCCCAGAGCCACAGCCUGCCUGCUGGCUGUGCUGUAGGAGGAAUUUUUUCACUCAGAGGGUGGUGACGCACUGGAACAGGUUGCUCAAGGAGGCUGUGGAUGCCCCAUCCCUGGAGGCACUCAAGGCCAGGCUGGAUGUGGCUCUGGGCAGCCUGGUCUGGUGGUUGGCGACCCUGCACAUAGCAGGGGGGUUGAAACUCGAUGAUCACUGUGGUCCUUUUCAACCCAGGCCAUUCUGCCAUUCUAUGAUUCUCCCUACAUUCUUCUCCUUCCCCCAGUGUAACACUCUACUAACUGCACUCUCCAGACACAAUCUGGAAAGCAUAAGCACCACAGUGCAGAAAAGGCUUGUGCAUCCUUUGCAGAUGCCUACAGCUCCUGGAGACAGCAUGUGGCUGCUGAGCUCCCCAGGUAGUCCUGCUCAUGGCUCGGUGCAAUUCCUGAGUGUGCUGGGAGACCUCCUCCCUUCCCAUGUUUCCUUGAAAUCCUCUACUUCUCAGUCAGAGUGCAAAUCUGGGUUAUAUCAUGUAAUUUCUUCCCAGUAAAUGCUGGUCUCUCCACUCACUCUUUGCAUCACCCCCUGUCUGCUGUGGUUCCCAGGCUGGUUGUGUUUUUUUCCCAGCCUGUGAAGGUCUGACGAUGCUAGUGAAAUUACACAAGGCACAAAUGAGGAGAAUGGAGUAGAAGCCCAAAGAUGUGCCUCCUAGCAGGAUUUAUCUGGGGAGCUCCUUCCCUGUCCGCAGAGCGUAGCAACCUGCCAGGGACAUGGAGGCACAUAGAGGGAGGUGCAGAAGAAACAAGGAGGAAUGUGGAGGAAGAUGGAGGACUUUGAAGUAAUGUUGAGGGAGAUGGUUCCUUAGGAUGUGUCUCAAUGGGCAGGUGAGGGCAGACCCAAAUUAAUUGCACCCACACCACGUCACUCAGGUGCAAGGCACUUCUAGCCCAGAAGCUGUGUGACUCUGCAGGCAGCACUGUGCCAACAUGGGGCAAAACCUGCAGUUUGGCUCAAUACCCACCUGGCGUUGGAUGCAAACAAACCUGUGAGUCCUACACCAAGUCUACAUCUUGGCCUGCCUUCUUCAGUUCACUCCGUUGGUACAGCUGGGCUCUCAGUGAACCAGAAAGUGUGAGGUUUGCCAGAACUGAAGAGCGUGUGAAUGGGUUUGUGGAGCUAAGCCUGCCUGAACUGGAGGGCUUUUGCAUGACUGUGAAGGAAAGAGCUUAAUUCUUCUUUAUGACCUGCUUCAAACAAAGCUACAGCAACCAAAUGGACCGUGCUGUGUGAAACCCAACAUCAUGCUCGUCCCAGCAGACUGACGGAGAUCAAAAAUUACCUUAUCACCUGGAGGUCUGCAGAGAAGCCAAGAGAUGUUGAAACCUCCACCACCUCCAACAUCAAAGGCUGCAGCAGGUAUCUUUCCAGGUGCUUUUUCACAGCCAGCCUCAGUGAAAGCUCCCAUUCAAAAGGCAGUAACUCGGGAACAUUAGGUGUAGCUUCUGGUGGCUGAACCGUUAAAGUUACCCUUCAAUGUCACCAGAAUAGCACACUAAAGGGGAAAUUCAAGGAGGAAAACAAAAAGAGUCCUACCUAGGGGAUUGGCUGCUUUACAGGGGCUGGUAAUGAGAUCAUACUGCCAUGAUUCAAGGUCACAAAUUUGACUUUAGAUAAGGUGUAGCAACAGCCUCAAUCUGUAAUGGUGGCUGUUCAGCAGCCUGUGUGACAUUAAUGGGUAGUCUCUUGUAGCCUUUUAAUUUAACAAGGUGAUUGCUAUAAGUUUUGUAAAAAAAUACCUCCAAACACAACUACUAAAAUGAGCUGGCGUGUGAUAGUGAACAACAAAGUUCACUGAAGCCUUUUGUACUGAUGCAUUGAAUGAUGAUGUAUUCACACCACUUUGCUGUUCUUUGUUGGAGCUUGAGGGCAGAGAUGUUAACAAAGGAUGUUCUGUAUAUUUGCAACAUAACAAAAUAAAAGAUUUUUUUUCCAGUAGGGCAUAACUACUAUCACAUAUGACUCUAACUUUAAAUGUGCCAUAAGGUAGCAGCACUGUCCAGAAGCUAGGCCUCUUCUACCUUUCAGCUUGCUGAGAACAACUUGUCUGAAAAGAUGCAGGCUGCUUUCUGCUCUGUACCUUUGUGCAGGGAGAAUUCAGAGUUCCUGGUGCAGUCCCAUCGUGCUGUGCUCGCCUCCUUUAGAGUUCACUGUAUUAAAGAUGAAGGUAUUGGUAACAUUCAAUUUCAGCUUUCAUAUAUAUAUAUUUUACCUAUUGUAAAAUACUUUCAGUACUGCUGUACUGCAGCAGCCUAUUCAUUUAUGUGCUUUAGGCACCUUUGGGUAACAGAAAUUACACCUAUCAGCAACAAUGGAAUGACAGACCAAAAACAAACCUAUCAAAUCUCUCAUUUCUGUAAAAGCAGGGCGAAAAAAGACUGAAAAUGGUGCCCUCUGCUUUCUGGUGAUCUUAUGCAUUCAUCAACAAGGUGCCCCAAAUCCAUUCUUAACUACGGCUAUAAUCUCGUGUAACAAAGGUACCUCCUGGGUACUGGUGAGAGACUUGUAGGAUGUGUUUAUUAUGAUUAAAUCUCUGAUAAGUUAAUUUUGGUUCUGGCAAAUAUUCCUAUGAUUUGCUCUGGGCAAACAAAAAAGCCACUAUACUUUGUUGCUGUACGUGCAGUCCUGAUGUCUCAUUCUGUGUAUAAAACAGAGAUUUUUGAAUACUGGAGAAUCUGCAGCCCAAAAAAGCCUGCUGGGGAGCAGAAGACACACUGGAUUCAUGUUUGCAUGUACUCAAAUUUACAUGCUGUUUUAUGCAUCCAGAAGAGCUAACAUCCUCCCUUUUCUUUCACGUCGAAUGGAUGCUAUGGUUUUAUGUGGGGAUGAGCAACACUUAUGACAGAUAAGCUGACAAAACACAGCAAAAUCCCGGGUGUCUGCAACAUCAACAGUUAGGCUGGUGUUUCCAUGUCCCUGCUGAGGAUGGAAAAUGUUUUGCCAUCACUCUUCCUACAUACACAGUCCCAAAGUGUUCAGAAGGGCUAAAUUUCUAGUGAAAUGAUCUUCAAGUGUUGUGUUGUCAUGAUAGAGAGAAGAUGGACUCAGUUCUCAGAGACCACAGUACAAUAUGGAGCUUGUAGCUGAGCUUCAGUAGGAUGUUUUUAACAGUCUGAUAUCUGGAAAGUCUUUUUUCCUAAGUGGUCAGUUACUGCAAGCAAAAUGACCUUCUCCUCCUUUUGUCAUGAUUAAUUCCUGCAAACCACACUGUAUUUUUCUCUAUGCUUGUCUGCUAACUAUGUAGAAAGUGCUAAGCAAUCGUGCAUAAUUCAUUACUCUUAAUUAAAAUGUAAAUUUAUUGUCAGCCUUUUGGGGUAAUUAAAGCACCAUUGUGAGAAUAGGUUUGUGUUCUGUAUCUUUUGCAAAAAUAAACAAAUAAUGUUUUAUGUUCUGCUUGAAGAGGUGCAGUUGAUCACCAAGUGGGACGCAACUGAACUUCCAGAGAAGGUCUGUCAGUUAGCAUAUAUCUAAUAUUCAAC
ensembl:lncRNA